rnacentral:rRNA from 1 species
GGGUUGUGAGGUUAAGCGACUAAGCGUACACGGUGGAUGCCCUGGCAGUCAGAGGCGAUGAAGGGCGUGCUAAUCUGCGAUAAGCGCCGGUAAGGUGAUAUGAACCGUUAUAACCGGCGAUACCCGAAUGGGGAAACCCAGUGUGAUUCGUCACACUAUCAUUAACUGAAUCCAUAGGUUAAUGAGGCGAACCGGGGGAACUGAAACAUCUAAGUACCCCGAGGAAAAGAAAUCAACCGAGAUUCCCCCAGUAGCGGCGAGCGAACGGGGAGGAGCCCAGAGCCUGAAUCAGCAUGUGUGUUAGUGGAAGCGUCUGGAAAGGCGCGCGAUACAGGGUGACAGCCCCGUACACAAAAGCGCAUGUGCUGUGAGCUCGAUGAGUAGGGCGGGACACGUGGUAUCCUGUCUGAAUAUGGGGGGACCAUCCUCCAAGGCUAAAUACUCCUGACUGACCGAUAGUGAACCAGUACCGUGAGGGAAAGGCGAAAAGAACCCCGGCGAGGGGAGUGAAAAAGAACCUGAAACCGUGUACGUACAAGCAGUGGGAGCACCCUUCGGGGUGUGACUGCGUACCUUUUGUAUAAUGGGUCAGCGACUU